UACAAUGUAAUGACCAAAUACAAUAAUAAUACAAAUGUUGAAUUUAAUUGCCAACUACCAGACAAAUUAUAUGUUUUUAGUUUAUGUUAUUUUAUGUAUGGAGGUGAUAAGUAAAUCUCGGUCGACCUGCUAUAGUGGUCGUGGCGUACCUUUAAUCGUUAUAAUAUUUGUGUUAAUAUUUAUAUUAAUACAUUUUUCAGAUUUUACGAUUUUUGA